GAUGAACGCUGGCGGCGUGCCUAAUACAUGCAAGUCGAGCGAACGGACGAGAAGCUUUCUUCUCUGAUGUUAGCGGCGGACGGGUGAGUAACACGUGGCUAACCUACCUAUAAGACUGGGAUAACUUCGGGAAACCGGAUCUAAUACCGGAUAAUAUUUUGAACCGCAUGGUUCAAAAGUGAAAGACGGUCUUGCUGUCACUUAUAGAUGUAUCCGCGCUGCAUUAGCUAGUUGGUAAGGUAACGGCUUACCAAGGCAACGAUGCAUAGCCGACCUGAGAGGGUGAUCGGCCACACUGGAACUGAGACACGGUCCAGACUCCUACGGGAGGCAGCAGUAGGGAAUCUUCCGCAAUAGGCGAAAGCCUGACGGAGCAACGCCGCGUGAGUGAUGAAGGUCUUCGGAUCGUAAAACUCUGUUAUUAGGGAAGAACAUAUGUGUAAGUAACUGUGCACAUCUUGACGGUACCUAAUCAGAAAGCCACGGCUAACUACGUG
rnacentral:rRNA from 1 species